CCCAUCCCUGUCUGUUGGUCAGGAGGACGCAGUUUCACUUUGUCCCACUCGCCUCUACCUCCGGGAGACUCAGCACACCCAGUGUAUGCAGCCAGCUAACAGGGAUGAGAUGUGCUGUCUGCUGAGCUGGCUCUGGAGACCCAGGUGCCAUUUGGAGCCUGUGAGACCCCUUCUUAGGGGAGUCUCAGCCAAGAAUCAGGACAGCACCCGGAUCUCUGGCCUGGGGCCCUUGCUGUGCCCAGGGUGCUCAGAGAGAAUUUACAACCAGUCCAGCCUCCGAGAGACUCGCAGGCUAGAGGGGAGACACUCACCUACAGCAAGCAAUGAGUGCAAUGUGAUCAUUGCACCUGGGCAAGGCUGAAAAGAGCAGGGCCAGGGAGAAGGCUGAGUGACAGGAGGAGGGCCAGGGCUCAGGGUCUCCCACCAUCCUGAGGACUCCCAUGGCUGGUGAACUCUGUGAACCCACUCCUGGCAGGAGCCCUGGCACCCCCCGAACACCACACUCUAGUGUCAAGCUGUCCCCACUGGAAUGCAGGUUGGGAAGGAGGCAAUGGAGUGGGGUGGGUGGGAGCUGAGGUUGCAAAAUUUGGUGGAAAUGGG
rnacentral:lncRNA from 10 species